CACAAGGAGAGAAAGAGAAGCAUGUCAGUCAACAUUGUCAACUUCAUAGGCAUUAUCCAAAUCAUGCACUCCUACUCCUAGUCUUUAAAUCUGACAGGUUUGUCUUCAUUCUCACACACUAUUGUUAUGGUGUCAGCCGGUGGCUGUGACCUUUAAACCUCCCCAUCCAAUCAGCUUAGGUCACAUCUCUCUAUUAGACCUCAUUCCCCACUCCACUUCCUUUCAAUAACCGCUCAACAGGUGUCCCAUCCCUUUAACACUCCAAUAAAGCCCUCAACAAGUGUCCCAUCCCUUUAACACUCCAAUAAAGCCCUCAACAGGUGUCCCAUCCCUUUAACACUCCAAUAAAGCCCUCAACAGGUGUCCCAUCCCUUUAACACUCCAAUAAAGCCCUCAGCAAGUGUCCCAUCCUUUAACACUCCAAUAAAGCCCUCAGCAGGUGUCCCAUCCUUUAACACUCCAAUAAAGCCCUCAGCAGGUGUCCCAUCCUUUAACACUCCAAUAAAGCCCUCAGCAAGUGUCCCAUCCUUUAACACUCCAAUAAAGCCCUCAGCAGGUGUCCCAUCCUUUAACACUCCAAUAAAGCCCUCAGCAGGUGUCCCAUCCCUUUAACACUCCAAUAAAGCCCUCAGCAGGUGUCCCAUCCCUUUAACACUCCAAUAAAGCCCUCAGCAGGUGUCCCAUCCCUGUAACACUCCAAUAAAGCCCUCAACAGGUGUCCCAUCCCUUUAACACUCCAAUAAAGCCCUCAGCAGGUGUCCCAUCCCUUUAACACUCCAAUAAAGCCCUCAACAGGUGUCCCAUCCCUUUAACACUCCAAUAAAGCCCUCAACAGGUGUCCCAUCCCUUUAACACUCCAAUAAAGCCCUCAACAGGUGUCCAUCCCAUAUCCCAUACAUUCGGACAGGAACACACUCCUUUCUGCCCCAAGUGUGCACUUGCUCACCUCUCCUUAUCGAUUUAAGAUUACUAGCCUAUGCUUACACCAAUCCAAUGCUUUUAAAUGCAUGAGGGGGAGUGAAUGAGUGCACACUUUUGCGAGCAAGGUAACGAAUUGGGACACAGGGUCUCUCCUAUCCCACCACUCCCUUCCCCUCCCCCUCUCCUCUCCGCUGGCCCCCUCUCACCACCUCAGCUGAAGGUGAAAUGCACAGCAGAGCACUGACAGGAAGUCUGCAGAGAGCACUUCCUUCCUGUUUCUGUCGCGGCACAGGUCCUCUCAGAGUGCCAAAAUGUGUGUUUGCAGAACACCUCCCUCUAACCCAACAGGACUAAUAUGAAGUUCAAUUAAAUGCAUUGUUUUCUCAUUCUAAGAAACACCUAAUCAAGAGGGCCAGACGUUUGAUUGGUGGGUAAAACC